UACAGAGGAUGCAAGCGUUAUCCGGAAUGAUUGGGCGUAAAGCGUCUGUAGGUGGCUUUUUAAGUCCGCCGUCAAAUCCCAGGGCUCAACUCUGGACAGGCGGUGGAAACUACCAAGCUGGAGUACGGUAGGGGCAGACGGAAUUCCGGGUGGAGCGGUGAAAUGCGUAGAGAUCCGGAGGAACACCGAAAGCGAAGGCAGUCUCCUGGCAAGUUUCUGACGCUCAGGUGCGAAAGCUAGGGGAGCGAACAGG
rnacentral:rRNA from 1 species